GUCGGAGCGCUGCAUACACGGGGAGUCCGGGGCUUGGCGGAGCACAGGAGCCACAAUCCACCUGUUUCCCCCUGUUCCCUUUCAGGAUUCAGUGCGGAGGUGAAAUGGAGGAGGUGGAGAAGGCACACGGGCGGCGAAUCGGCAACCUCGUCAGCCUCGACGAUGGUGGUAUCCGGUGACCAGUAUAACUAAUCAUUUACCUCCAAAGGAUUGACACUUGAGGAUCGCCAGUCGAUGUCUCAAUGACUCCCAAGUCGUAGGCUACAUGUCAUUGAGAUUUGUGUAGCGUUUCUCAAGAGUCUAGUGGCUCCUAACGGCUCGGCAUAUAAUUCCAUCAUAACUAUAGUAGCUUACAAAAUUCCAUAGUGGUUAUACUAUUGGUCCAAUGGUGUCACUAUCUUUGUGAUGUGCUUGUCGAUAGCUUGAUUUAUUCUUGUCAUAUUCUAUUGUCAGCAAAAAAAAUUACAUGUAGCUUUUUGAUAUUUUAUUUGUACUCCAGCUGGAAGAAAUCAAACACCAAAAAAAUCCAUAUAGCUUUUCUUUUUUAUUUGCAACUUUUUAUGAUUUUUGUUCAUACUCUAGUUGAAAAAAACAGAAAUGGGACCAAAAUUUUACAUGUAACUUUUCUUUUGAAUUGUAGCUUUUUGGGAUUUUUUUCAUACUGUAGUUGAAAAAAUAGAAACAAUAUCAAAAUUUUACAUGCAACCUUUUCUUUUUUAUUUGCAACUUUUUUAUUUUUGUUUAUACUCUAGUUGGAAAAAAUAGAAAUGGGACCAAAAUUUUACAUGUAACUUUUCUUUUGAUUUGUAACUUUUUGGGAGUUUUUGUUCAUACUCUAGUUGAUAAAAUAGAAACAACAUCAAAAUUUUACGUGUAACCCUUUCUUUUUGUGAUUUUUUGUUCGUACUCUAGUUGAAAAAAAAGCAACCGGACUAAAAUUUUACUCGUAAUUUUUAUUUUGAUUUGUAACUUCUUGA